GUGCACGCUGGCGGUAGGCCUCACACCUGCAAGUCGAACGGCAGCACAGUAAGAGCUUGCUCUUACGGGUGGCGAGUGGCGGACGGGUGAGGAAUACAUCGGAAUCUACUUUUUCGUGGGGGAUAACGUAGGGAAACUUACGCUAAUACCGCAUACGACCUACGGGUGAAAGCAGGGGAUCUUCGGACCUUGCGCGAUUGAAUGAGCCGAUGUCGGAUUAGCUAGUUGGCGGGGUAAAGGCCCACCAAGGCGACGAUCCGUAGCUGGUCUGAGAGGAUGAUCAGCCACACUGGAACUGAGACACGGUCCAGACUCCUACGGGAGGCGGCAGUGGGGAAUAUUGGACAAUGGGCGCAAGCCUGAUCCAGCCAUACCGCGUGGGUGAAGAAGGCCUUCGGGUUGUAAAGCCCUUUUGUUGGGAAAGAAAAGCAGCAGGUUAAUACCCCGCUGUUCUGACGGUACCCAAAGAAUAAGCACCGGCUAACCUCGUG
rnacentral:rRNA from 1 species